GGUUAUGGCUCAGCAGUAGAGUGCUCGCCUCGCAUGUGUAAGGCCCUGGGUUCGAUCCUCAGCACCA
rnacentral:tRNA from 1 species